rnacentral:rRNA from 1 species
CCUACGGGAGGCAGCAGUGGGGAAUAUUGCACAAUGGGCGAAAGCCUGAUGCAGCGACGCCGCGUGAGGGAUGACGGCCUUCGGGUUGUAAACCUCUUUCAGCAGGGAAGAAGCGAAAGUGACGGUACCUGCAGAAGAAGCGCCGGCUAACUACGUGCCAGCAGCCGCGGUAAUACGUAGGGCGCAAGCGUUGUCCGGAAUUAUUGGGCGUAAAGAGCUCGUAGGCGGUUUGUCGCGUCUGCUGUGAAAGCCCGGGGCUCAACCCCGGGUCUGCAGUGGGUACGGGCAGACUAGAGUGCAGUAGGGGAGACUGGAAUUCCUGGUGUAGCGGUGAAAUGCGCAGAUAUCAGGAGGAACACCGAUGGCGAAGGCAGGUCUCUGGGCUGUAACUGACGCUGAGGAGCGAAAGCAUGGGGAGCGAACAGGAUUAGAUACCCUGGUAGUCCAUGCCGUAAACGUUGGGCACUAGGUGUGGGGGACAUUCCACGUUUUCCGCGCCGUAGCUAACGCAUUAAGUGCCCCGCCUGGGGAGUACGGCCGCAAGGCUAAAACUCAAAUGAAUUGACGGGG